AGGGAUGAUGUAGUGGAAGUGAGUACAUACUCACUGUCUCAUUACAAUGCAUUACAUACUUGUGUUUCACGCUUUAUCCACAAUCUUGUAAAUCAUUUGAAUUGGCUUCUGAUCUGGCCAAAUUUAAGGGCUCUUAGCAUUGUUGUUGCAUUUGUUUUUGAGAGAAACACCAUAUUGCAUGUUUGUUUAAAAACAGCUAAUUUUGUUUUCAAGGUGCAAUCUGAAUUUUGCUUUUUGUUAAAGCA
rnacentral:misc_RNA from 1 species